rnacentral:rRNA from 1 species
UACGUAGGUGACGAGCGUUAUCCGGAAUUACUGGGCGUAAAGCGUCGCGCAGGCGGCGCGUUAAGACAGGUGUGAAAGCCCCGAGCUUAACUUGGGAAUUGCGCUUGUGACUGGCGUGCUGGAGUGUGGCAGAGGGAGGUGGAAUUCCACGUAUAGCAGUGAAAUGCGUAGAGAUGUGGAGGAACACCGAUGGCGAAGGCAGCCUCCUGGGCCAGCACUGACGCUCAUGCACGAAAGCGUGGGGAGCAAACAGG